GCUCCUAUAGCUUAGCUGGAUAGAGCAUCUGACUUCGGAUCAGAGGGUCGAGAGUUCGAAUCUUUCUGGGAGCGCCA
rnacentral:tRNA from 3 species